rnacentral:misc_RNA from 1 species
CCCACACUCUUUGUCACCGGACCGCCCGGUACAGGUAAAACUGUGGUGCUGCUGCUGAUGGCCAUACAGUGGCUGCGGUGUGGUCACCACGUCUACGUUGUCAGUUGAGGGACUCUCAGUCGUGCAGUGUCCAGCAUGUUGUAUCAUCUGCUGCUGCAAACUGUCAACACUACAUUGACAAACGGACAACUCCACCUUUUGCAGUAUAGUUUUAUUGACGACGAUGACAUCAACGAUGACAUCAACGACGACAUCGACGAUGACCACAACAAAGGAAACGUGGAGAAAGCUGUGGAACAUUUGUCACAAGAAGCAAGGUGAGGCUCGCUGCACGUCAUCGCCGAUGAGGCGGGGCCUGAGCGGGCCUUUAAGACUUUCUGUGAAAAGUUGCUGACAAAAGUUCCUGAUGUCCAUCUCUGGGCGGCAAGUUUUUACUGCAAGCACAUCCCCGCCGGCUGGCAAGUGGAAUAUUUAACCCGACCCCUCCGCUUCCCACCCGCUGUGGUCAGGGAAGUCAUCAGGGAUAAGAAAAUCACUGACUACAGUAACAUAUGCCCCUACAGUGAGCGAGGUGUGCCCGACCACACAGACGGCCCACCAGUCAGACGACUACGUCAUCAACAUCAGUGUCCAGCUGAAGACCGGUCAGGUGACUGUGUCACGUGUGGUCGUGAGCUGGCCAGCCUCCUGCACAGUCUCCGUGUUGGUGAUCCUGUGAACGCUACAACUCAAGGGUCCUCAUUACCUGGAGGUACAACACCACCAAACCUACAGUGGAGAGACGUUCUGGUGCUCUAUGACUGGCAUGGUGUAGGUGACAACUCGGGUAUGGUGCAAGCACUGAGAGAAGCGGGUAUCCCAGUCCGGGUGAUGAAGGAUGAGGACACAGAGGACGUGGCCACGGCCCGCAGUGACGUGGUGUGGGUAGCGAGCAGAUACCGGGUGUACGGUCUGGAGAGAAAAGUCGUUGUGUGCCUGGAAAACAAAGUUGACCGUGUUCACUCCAUGUCCAGGUGUACGUCACAACUUGUCAUUGUCGAAGAGUAGGCAAUCUGACUGACUGACACUGUCAUGCAAGUCAGAUAUGUUGUCUGUGUGUGUUAGUGUGCUGCUAGUUUUUAUUAUUUCAGAUUUUCCCACAUUACAUUGUUAUGUGACGUUUUAGGUGAGUUGACAUUGUAACCGGAUGUUUUACGUGACGUGGCAUUGUAACAUGGCGUUUAACAUGACAUGACACUCUAUCAGGAUGUUAAUGCCCACUUGCGUGAUAAGAAACAUCAGCUCAACAAGAACUAUUUUACCAUUGGGAUAUUUUUUGUCACAUUUUCAAAGCUUCUGCAAAGUUUGAAUCAUGGCCUCAAGUCUGCAGAAACUUUAGUUUAUAGUUUACUUUGGAAGAAAUAUUGAAUAAAAUGAGGUAAAAAAUAGGAUAUGAAUAGACUGUUCUUUAGACAUUUUUGACUGAUAGUUUAUAUCAUGUGAAAUCUCUACAGCAAUUUCUGUUUAUAUAUUUUUGGUAUGCUAUGACAGUUGACGAACGGUUCGAAGUCAAAGGCUCUCUUCAAAAAUGGAAUCUCGCUGACGAUGUUGUUUUAUGUCAGUCUUUAUUGUGCCAUUUGAGUUAGUGUACCAGGAUGCGAAGCUGAUUAAAAUAAUUUGAAAUUGUGCACUACUGCUUGUGCAGUUUCAUUGAAAAACGAGUUUUAUGUGAUUCAGGGAUGUGUAACGACAUGCUUGUAGCUUACCUCAAUUACUUCCCUAUUUAUCUAGCACACGAUAUGAGUCAUGGCUUUGAACCUAAAGUACCUCUGUGUCCUUCCGGGAUCUUUUUCCGUCCUUUUAAUAAACACCUCAUUAUGUCCCCAUAGCUGUGAAUCAUUCCCUCUUGACCUCUGAUCAGCCAACCUGUGGGCCUGCGAAGUAAUAGUACCUCAAAAUUGCGACCCAUGUAUGAUGGUAGUCUUUAUUUAAAAAUACUGUUAAUUAAUCUAUGUAAAUGAAAUAAAAAAAAAACAACAAAAACAAAUUGCUAUUCAGUGAUAUGGUCGUCAUCGGUAGUGUUAAAUUAUAAAGUUUGGGGGGAAAACACACAUAAGAUCACGCAAAAAGAGAUUGGUUAAGGUGCUCGCACACACACACACACACUAGUAAAAGCCAAACACGCACUGUUUUAUAUAUGUAUUUGAAUGUUUUGUAUGCUAAUAAAAUUGUACUUUGUAUUUUAAGUUACCUGUCUUACCUUUUGUGCUUGGGGAAAAGCAAGGGUAGGGGCUCGUGAGUUGUAUGGUGGAAACUAAGAGCGACUGACAUGUGGUUGUUGUACAUAGUGUUUCACAUGCAAGAUUAUGUUGACGCGUUGAUGUUUAAGGAGUUCAAUCAUAU